GAUAAACGCUGGCGGCGUGCUUCAUGCAUGCAAGUCGAACGAUUCUUCCCGCAAGGGAGGAGUAGUGGCAAACGGGUGAGUAACACGUAAGUAACCUGCCCCUAAGUGGGGAAUAACCCUGAGAAAUCGGCGCUAAUACCGCAUGUGGUCGUUUCGGGCAACCGGGAUGACUACAACCGUAAGGUGCUUGGGGAGGGGCGUGCGUCUGAUUAGCUAGUUGGUGAGGUAACGGCCCACCAAGGCGAAGAUCAGUAGCUGGGCUGAGAGGACGGUCAGCCACACUGGGACUGAGACACGGCCCAGACUCCUACGGGAGGCAGCAGCAAGGAAUUUUGUACAAUGGGCGAAAGCCUGAUACAGCGACGCCGCGUGGGGGAUGAAGGCCUUCGGGUUGUAAACCCCUUUUCCCAGGGAUGAAUAAUGACAGUACCUGGGGAAUAAGUCACGGCUAACUACGUGCCAGCCGCCGCGGUAACAC
rnacentral:rRNA from 1 species